AAAAAAAAAGUCAAAUAAUAAAAAAAAAUAAACCUGUCACAAGUUAAAGACAGUACUUGCAGAGUAAUCAUGAAAAAAGACUUCAUGGGUGUGGGGAAAUUGCCUUGAAAUAUGGAUAGGAUUUCAUAAGCAAAGAAGAGGGAGGAAGGACACAGCAGAUAAGAAAGGCUGGAAACAAAAAAAUGCUGAGACAAGCUACAACAAAGUACCAAAAUAAGGAAAGAAUAGAGCAGUGAGGCUAUUAAGCAAGAGUUCUGUACCCCUAAAAUUAACAACAGGCUACAAGGAAGAAUGAGACUAAAACUGUGAAGUACAAAUCCUUUCAAGGUUCUAAGGUAAUUAGAUGUGGAUACUGAAACACAAAGAAUCAACAAGAGCUGGUGACUUGCUAUACAAGGUGUGAGAGAUGGAGACACCAAAUAUGAC